CUUGCGCUCUCUGGUAUUCCGGAGAGCAUGCCUGUUUGAGUGUCAUG
rnacentral:rRNA from 1 species